rnacentral:rRNA from 1 species
AUUGAACGCUAGCGGGAUGCCUUACACAUGCAAGUCGAACGGAGUGGCGAACGGGUGAGUAAUGUAUAGGAACGUGCCCAGCAGCGGGGGAUAACUACGCGAAAGCGUAGCUAAUACCGCAUACUAUUGGAGCGGCCGAUAUCGGAUUAGCUAGUUGGGGGGGUAACGGCUCACCAAGGCGACGAUCCGUAGCGGGGUGGAGAGGACGCCCAGCCACAAUGGGACUGGGACACGGCCCAGACUCCUACGGGAGGCAGCAGUGGGGAAUGUUGGACCAUGGGGGAAACCCUGAUCCAGCCACCCCGCUUGCGCGAUGAAGGCCUUCGGGUUGUAAAGCACUUUUGGCAGGAAAGCGGUACCUGCAGAAUAAGCACCGGCUAACUACGUGCCAGCAGCCGCGGUAAUUC